rnacentral:tRNA from 1 species
GCGCACAUGGCGGAAUUGGCAGACGCGCCAGGUUUAGGACCUGGUACUGAGGUGUGGGGGUUCAAAUCCCUCUGUGCGCACCA